GGGCCCGUAGCUCAGCCUGGCAGAGCGUCCGGCUUUUAACCGGAGUGUCGGGGGUUCGAAUCCCCCCGGGCCCG
rnacentral:tRNA from 1 species